rnacentral:tRNA from 6 species
GGCGAGAUAGCAAAGUGGUAAUGCAGCGGAUUGCAAAUCCGUGGACGCCGGUUCGAUUCCGACUCUCGCCUCCA